GGUCAGUGAUGAGCAGAAAAGGCACCCCGGCCUCCCAGCUGGCCCCGGCUGCCUCUCUCCCACGGGCUCUCGCUGUGCUCUGUGGGCAAAGGUGCUGCUGACCCUGGGAUAUGUCCGUCCUGCCUGCGCUGCUGAGCACUGUGGGUGACAUCCAGCGGCUCUGUCACCAGCGGAUCUGAUGGCUAGGAGUGGUGUGAUAUGCCAUUUCAGACUGAGGCC